UUAACUUUUUUUCUCUCUAAAAAAAACCCUAGCCAUACUACGAUAGAGGAGAUCUUUUCACAUCAAACUCCGCUACGAGAAAAGAAAAAAGAAGAAAGACUUGCGCCACAGUGGAGAUUCGAUUGAUCAUCGCUAUCCCCUUUUGAGUUUUCCAGACUCUGCGAACCAGUGGAUAUUCGUACGGCCGGCCACUGCCAUACCCUGCCGGACUUAGAGCAUCACAAUCGGCAUCCGUCAAAGCUAAAUACGAUCAAACGCCUCAUAGGUUUUGAGAUACGGAGUUAGUGAUUGGCGAUAUUCUGACGAAAGAUCUAUCAUCUCUGCUCUGGCUUAUAAGACAGUUGGUAUCUAUUCAAGAAGAGCUACUUGAUUAAAUAUAAAGGUCAGGC